AACGCACAUUGCGCCCGCCAGUAUUCUGGCGGGCAUGCCUGUUCGAGCGUCAUUUCAACCCUCAAGCCCCCGGGCUUGGUGUUGGGGAUCGGCCGCCCUCCGGCGCGCCGGCCCCGAAAUCUAGUGGCGGUCUCGCUGUAGCCUCCUCUGCGUAGUAACACACCUCGCACCGGAACGCAGCCUGGCCACGCCGUUAAACCCCCCACUUCUGAAGGUUGACCUCGGAUCAGGUAGGAAUACCCGCUGAACUUAA
rnacentral:misc_RNA from 1 species